GGGUUGUGAGGUUAAGCGACUAAGCGUACACGGUGGAUGCCCUGGCAGUCAGAGGCGAUGAAGGACGUGCUAAUCUGCGAUAAGCGUCGGUAAGGUGAUAUGAACCGUUAUAACCGGCGAUUUCCGAAUGGGGAAACCCAGUGUGAUUCGUCACACUAUCAUUAACUGAAUCCAUAGGUUAAUGAGGCGAACCGGGGGAACUGAAACAUCUAAGUACCCCGAGGAAAAGAAAUCAACCGAGAUUCCCCCAGUAGCGGCGAGCGAACGGGGAGCAGCCCAGAGCCUGAAUCAGUGUGUGUGUUAGUGGAAGCGUCUGGAAAGGCGCGCGAUACAGGGUGACAGCCCCGUACACAAAAAUGCACAUACUGUGAGCUCGAUGAGUAGGGCGGGACACGUGGUAUCCUGUCUGAAUAUGGGGGGACCAUCCUCCAAGGCUAAAUACUCCUGACUGACCGAUAGUGAACCAGUACCGUGAGGGAAAGGCGAAAAGAACCCCGGCGAGGGGAGUGAAAAAGAACCUGAAACCGUGUACGUACAAGCAGUGGGAGCACAGAGCAAUCUGUGUGACUGCGUACCUUUUGUAUAAUGGGUCAGCGACUUAUAUUCUGUAGCAAGGUUAACCGAAUAGGGGAGCCGAAGGGAAACCGAGUCUUAACUGGGCGUUAAGUUGCAGGGUAUAGACCCGAAACCCGGUGAUCUAGCCAUGGGCAGGUUGAAGGUUGGGUAACACUAACUGGAGGACCGAACCGACUAAUGUUGAAAAAUUAGCGGAUGACUUGUGGCUGGGGGUGAAAGGCCAAUCAAACCGGGAGAUAGCUGGUUCUCCCCGAAAGCUAUUUAGGUAGCGCCUCGUGAAUUCAUCUCCGGGGGUAGAGCACUGUUUCGGCAAGGGGGUCAUCCCGACUUACCAACCCGAUGCAAACUGCGAAUACCGGAGAAUGUUAUCACGGGAGACACACGGCGGGUGCUAACGUCCGUCGUGAAGAGGGAAACAACCCAGACCGCCAGCUAAGGUCCCAAAGUCAUGGUUAAGUGGGAAACGAUGUGGGAAGGCCCAGACAGCCAGGAUGUUGGCUUAGAAGCAGCCAUCAUUUAAAGAAAGCGUAAUAGCUCACUGGUCGAGUCGGCCUGCGCGGAAGAUGUAACGGGGCUAAACCAUGCACCGAAGCUGCGGCAGCGACGCUUAUGCGUUGUUGGGUAGGGGAGCGUUCUGUAAGCCUGNNNNNNNNNNNNNNNNNNNNNNNNNNNNNNNNNNNNNNNNNNNNNNNNNNNNNNNNNNNNNNNNNNNNNNNNNNNNNNNNNNNNNNNNNNNNNNNNNNNNAUGCUGGAGGUAUCAGAAGUGCGAAUGCUGACAUAAGUAACGAUAAAGCGGGUGAAAAGCCCGCUCGCCGGAAGACCAAGGGUUCCUGUCCAACGUUAAUCGGGGCAGGGUGAGUCGACCCCUAAGGCGAGGCCGAAAGGCGUAGUCGAUGGGAAACAGGUUAAUAUUCCUGUACUUGGUGUUACUGCGAAGGGGGGACGGAGAAGGCUAUGUUGGCCGGGCGACGGUUGUCCCGGUUUAAGCGUGUAGGCUGGUUUUCCAGGCAAAUCCGGAAAAUCAAGGCUGAGGCGUGAUGACGAGGCACUACGGUGCUGAAGCAACAAAUGCCCUGCUUCCAGGAAAAGCCUCUAAGCAUCAGGUAACAUCAAAUCGUACCCCAAACCGACACAGGUGGUCAGGUAGAGAAUACCAAGGCGCUUGAGAGAACUCGGGUGAAGGAACUAGGCAAAAUGGUGCCGUAACUUCGGGAGAAGGCACGCUGAUAUGUAGGUGAAGUCCCUCGCGGAUGGAGCUGAAAUCAGUCGAAGAUACCAGCUGGCUGCAACUGUUUAUUAAAAACACAGCACUGUGCAAACACGAAAGUGGACGUAUACGGUGUGACGCCUGCCCGGUGCCGGAAGGUUAAUUGAUGGGGUCAGCGCAAGCGAAGCUCUUGAUCGAAGCCCCGGUAAACGGCGGCCGUAACUAUAACGGUCCUAAGGUAGCGAAAUUCCUUGUCGGGUAAGUUCCGACCUGCACGAAUGGCGUAAUGAUGGCCAGGCUGUCUCCACCCGAGACUCAGUGAAAUUGAACUCGCUGUGAAGAUGCAGUGUACCCGCGGCAAGACGGAAAGACCCCGUGAACCUUUACUAUAGCUUGACACUGAACAUUGAGCCUUGAUGUGUAGGAUAGGUGGGAGGCUUUGAAGUGUGGACGCCAGUCUGCAUGGAGCCGACCUUGAAAUACCACCCUUUAAUGUUUGAUGUUCUAACGUUGACCCGUAAUCCGGGUUGCGGACAGUGUCUGGUGGGUAGUUUGACUGGGGCGGUCUCCUCCUAAAGAGUAACGGAGGAGCACGAAGGUUGGCUAAUCCUGGUCGGACAUCAGGAGGUUAGUGCAAUGGCAUAAGCCAGCUUGACUGCGAGCGUGACGGCGCGAGCAGGUGCGAAAGCAGGUCAUAGUGAUCCGGUGGUUCUGAAUGGAAGGGCCAUCGCUCAACGGAUAAAAGGUACUCCGGGGAUAACAGGCUGAUACCGCCCAAGAGUUCAUAUCGACGGCGGUGUUUGGCACCUCGAUGUCGGCUCAUCACAUCCUGGGGCUGAAGUAGGUCCCAAGGGUAUGGCUGUUCGCCAUUUAAAGUGGUACGCGAGCUGGGUUUAGAACGUCGUGAGACAGUUCGGUCCCUAUCUGCCGUGGGCGCUGGAGAACUGAGGGGGGCUGCUCCUAGUACGAGAGGACCGGAGUGGACGCAUCACUGGUGUUCGGGUUGUCAUGCCAAUGGCACUGCCCGGUAGCUAAAUGCGGAAGAGAUAAGUGCUGAAAGCAUCUAAGCACGAAACUUGCCCCGAGAUGAGUUCUCCCUGACUCCUUGAGAGUCCUGAAGGAACGUUGAAGACGACGACGUUGAUAGGCCGGGUGUGUAAGCGCAGCGAUGCGUUGAGCUAACCGGUACUAAUGAACCGUGAGGCUUAACCUUACAACGCCGAAGGUGUUU
rnacentral:rRNA from 1 species